rnacentral:rRNA from 1 species
UCCCUUAGUAACUGCGAGUGAAGUGGGAAAAGCUCAAAUUUAAAAUCUGGCAGUCAUUUGGCUGUUCGAGUUGUAAUCUAGAGAAGUGUUGCCCGUGCUGGACCAUGUACAAGUCUCCUGGAAUGGAGCAUCACAGAGGGUGAGAAUCCUGUCUUUGACAUGGACUACCAGUGCUUUUGUGGUAUGCUCUCAAAGAGUCGAGUUGUUUGGGAAUGCAGCUCAAAAUGGG